CUGGUCACACUGUUCCUGUUCAAGCCUGGAGUGUGGAGCCAUGGGGAAAAUCCUCAGCAAAGUCCAGCGGAGUGGCUUCACUGUGGUGGGCCUGCAUGUGCUGGUUCUGGACAAUACCACAGCUGUGUCACUGGCAUCUGCUGCAGAGAAUCAGGCAACUCACUUAUUUAUACCUACCUAAACCAGGCCAGUGGACAGAUUGUUAUAUUGUUUUUAAUGCAUUGGCUCAACUCAGUUUUCCUCUUGUGUUUUCCUCUAGGACUCCUCUGCUGUAGAAGCCCAUGUCCAGUCCUUGAGCUUUGGGCCUUCCCUGGCUUUGUGCCUGCAGAGGGAGAAUGCUGUGAAGAAGCUACUGGACGUGCUGGGACCUGAGGACCCUGUCCAGGCCCGCGCUCAGGACCAAUUCCUCUGGAGGGCCUGUUACAGCUCAGACCAUCUACACAGCGGCAUCUAUGGAUCGAGGAGCUAUCAGAGAGCUGUUCAGGAUGUGAAGAGGCUGUUCCCUCAGGGCCUAUGCUGCACAGAGACCAACACCAUGAGACAGGAGCAGGUACAUCACAGUGCUACAAUAGACAUGAUUUACUAUUCCUAGAUGUAUAGCCGUCUCAUAUGCCCUGUGUUAAAUAAGGAACACAUUUUGUGUCUGUUGUCACUCACUGUUCUGUAUCACAGAUACCCAGUGUACACUCAGACCAUUUGGCUUGUCUGGCCAAAUGGUCAGACAAGCCAUCUUUAUCACACCUUAUGGCUUCUGGACUGAAUGGAGGUGAGGUCUAGUUUUGAAUGUUUUAGCCUAGCUGAAUCUUUGUUGUUGAAUCGCUUAUUUACUAGUUUUAUGUGGAUACAAAACGGGUCCCUUAAUCAUUUACUUUUUAUUGGGACGUUGCCUAUGAUUGGUCUGGGGCAACAGUUUUUAGUUGAUGUGGUAUCAACAGCAAUUGAACUUUGUAAACGUGGCCGUUUGUGUGUGGGUGGCAGCAGGGCCCUCGAUCCGCAGUGCUCUCUGCCAAACCACCUGCCUGCUGCUGCCCUCCAGUGUACUGGGCCCAGCCCCCAUCCACCUGGACCUGCUUGAGCAGCUGCUGAGGACAGGCUGCACCUGGUGGCCGGGAGGAUGAGUGCCCUGGACGAGAACCAGAGAUGUCACAUAGCUGAGACACUGAUGCUACCCUCUGAGGGAUGGGAAGGGCCUGAGGGCCCUUGUCUUAUCGUUGCUCUACAGAAAGAUAACACUGUGACCUGCUUUGACUCCAUGCUUGAAAGGUAAGGAAAUAGGCUACUCAAACAUGUACCGGUUAGUGUUUUGCAUUUAUUCUUCUUUGCAUCAUAAUGGAAUGCAUAGAUUAAUAUGCUAUGGUUUAUUUAUUUUGCACUAUAGUAUACCAAUCAGCAUUCAGGGCUGGA